GUCCAGCUGAUGAGUCCCAAAUAGAAUGAAGCGAGCGUCCUAUAU
rnacentral:hammerhead_ribozyme from 1 species